rnacentral:rRNA from 1 species
AUUGAACGCUGGCGGCAGGCCUAACACAUGCAAGUCGAACGAGUGGCGGACGGGUGAGUAAUGCCUGGGAAUCUAGCUUAUGGAGGGGGAUAACUACGGGAAACUGUAGCUAAUACCGCGUACCAUAGGAUGAGCCCAAUUGGGAUUAGGUAGUUGGUGAGGUAAAGGCUCACCAAGGCGACGAUCUCUAGCUGGUCUGAGAGGAUGACCAGCCACACUGGGACUGAGACACGGCCCAGACUCCUACGUGAGGCAGCAGUGGGGAAUAUUGCACAAUGGGGGCAACCUGACGCAGCCAUGCCGCGUGAAUGAAGAAGGCCUGCGGGUUGUAAAGUUCUUUCGGUAGCGAGGCGUUAACUACAGAAGAAGCACCGGCUAACUCCGUGCCAGCCGCCGCGGUAAUAC